GAUCAUGGCUCAGAUUGAACGCUGGCGGCAGGCUUAACACAUGCAAGUCGAGCGGUAACACUUCGGGUGACGAGCGGCGGACGGGUGAGUAAUACAUAGGAAUCUGCCUAGUAGUGGGGAUAACGUAGGGAAACUUACGCUAAUACCGCAUACAUCCUACGGGGGAAAGCAGGGGAUCUUCGGACCUUGCGCUAUUAGAUGAGCCUAUGUCGGAUUAGCUAGUUGGUGAGGUAAAGGCUCACCAAGGCGACGAUCCGUAGCUGGUCUGAGAGGAUGAUCAGCCACACUGGGACUGAGACACGGCCCAGACUCCUACGGGAGGCAGCAGUGGGGAAUAUUGGACAAUGGGCGCAAGCCUGAUCCAGCCAUGCCGCGUGUGUGAAGAAGGCCUUAGGGUUGUAAAGCACUUUAAGCGAGGAGGAAGGUUUUAGUUUAAUACACUAAAGAAUUGACGUUACUCGCAGAAUAAGCACCGGCUAACUCUGUG
rnacentral:rRNA from 1 species